CAGCCAUGUUGGUAGGAUCCAUAGGAGGCAUUUAACAAACAGAACAGCCAUUGUACAACUCUGUCUGUUUACAUCAGCAAACAUCGGAAUUGUGCUAGACGGAGCGUCGUCGGUUUUCCUUUACCUGAUGUGAACGGUCACUCUGCACCAAACCGACGUCCUGCUGGAGUUUCUCUUCACGUCUCAGACAUGACGAAGAGCUCAAUUUUCAAAAGUCAGCGUCCUCUCAGCCGCGGUGAACUCUGGCUCCUCACUGCGACGUCACCCCGGCUGCUUUUCCUCUCUCCUGAGUUCAGCGUUUCUCGACAGCGGCGUCCCGACACGCCGCGGAGGGCCAGGCAUCAAACAGCCCUCAGCCCCUCCGAGUGUUUCCCCCGGAGUCAUUUCCAUACAAGACAAAGCCCUCGGCUCCCCUCUCCUCUGUACUACAAGAAUAGAGAGCAGUCGAACAAAGGGGAAAACAAGUAAACAAACAAAAUGAUGUAUGAAUGUCACCGCGAUAAGAAGGAGUAGUGCAUGUAUGUAAAUUAAAAUGAAUCCCUCUUUUUCCCCCCACUUAUGUCUCUGGUGUUCGGGACUGGAGGGAGCAGCGGGACAAGAGACGGUGCGUGGUUGCAGGUGUAGGUGGGCGAGAAGCGGACGAUCCCCCUGUCAGGCCACACCCCCUGGUCCCACGUCCGGUUGCAGAAGAGCCAACAUGGCGCUGGUCAACACGCAGAACUCGAUGCUUCAAAACGGCAGCUCACAGGCCAAACAGGCGACGUCACGGUGGGUUUCCACUUGGCUCCCGCUUCACCUGACUCUGUCUUCGGGGAGUGGAGACGAUAGGAGGAGGGUCACGUUCAGUCUGUGUGCAGCUGAAAACUGAUGACUUAUAUCAUAACCCACCAACCUGGCAUCGUUUGACUACUGCGACAUGAAACCCGAUGAAUGAAUGAAUGAAUGAAGGAGUGAAUGAAUGAAUGAAGGAGUGAAGGAGUGAAUGAAUAUACUGUAGCGUGUUGUAAGAGGAGGUAUUCAGGUCUCACACAUACGCCACAGGGCUCCAGCUGGUGUGGGACGGUGGGGGUCUUUGUGUCCCAUAUAACCCAGAACUUCUUGUACCCCCUCCCUCACCUCACUAUCCACACUCACACACACACACACACAUACACACACAAAACCCCCCAACACCCCCUUUCCCCUUGACUCCCCCGUCCCCGACUAACAGGAUUAGGGGACGGAAGGUGCUCGCUCAGCAGACCUCGGGACGUAUAUAUGCCAGAGACAGCCAGCUAUGGAGGGUGUGUGUGUGUGCGUGUGUGUGUGUGCGUGUGUGCGUGUGAGACGGCGGAUUAGUGGGAAAGUGUAUGUAGCUCUCAGGGACCCCAGAAGCUUUGAGACCGAGGCCCCAAGGGACAAGAGUCACGACUGGGAGUCUGUGUGUUUUUGUGUUGCACCAUGUGUCUAAGCAUGUGUGUGUGCGCGCUCUGUGUGUGUGUGUGUGCGCGUGCAUAUUUGUCGAAUGAGCAGUGAUUGUUUUGCCCAUUUGAUCAUCUGACACGCGUUGUUUUUUUUUCUCCAAACUGUUUUUAUUUGUAAAAACCGUGAAAUAUUUUUAGUCGUAGAAAUGAAAUCCUCCCACAUACACAAACAGAAAAACCGAGCAAAUUUCUAUAAAGAAAAUGAAAUUGACAUGAACUCAAAACUACUACUAACUACUUUACGGAUUUGAAGUAGAUCAAAUAUUUAAGACGGCGACAGAACAGUUGAAUAUAAAUUAUUUUGAGGUAAAUGUCGAAAUGAGGAUCAUUUAGGUCUAUGAGACCAAAAAAAUGUGAUCAAAAAAAUGUGAUCAUGUGACAUAUAUAACACGCAGACCUGCAGUACUCUCUAAGCUCUAAUUGAGAUCAGAGGCGAACAAAGUUUGCGUUGGGACUGAACCAGAAUAAAAUAAGUUCAACUAAAUCAACAACUUAAUUUGGAUUACAGUUAUAGCAUUACAAAUUCUUUAGAUUCAAUUCUCCAUUGGUACAAAUAUUUGAAAAUGAAUCAACCCCUCUAGAAGACAAUAAACAGCUAAAUGAGCAUGACACCAGCAGCCAGUUUGGCAACAAAAGAACUCAAAGGACAUUGAGAAACUUUCAGAAAAAUGUCAGAAACCCACUAAAGGACUUGACCCAUCAUGGCCAGAUUGAGGCACAAUUCGAAUGUGGCUGUGUGCAAGAAUACGGAGUUACGCAUAAAGGAUUAGAAACCAAAAGAUAAAGGUAAAAAAAACGUCAAAGAAAGAGAGAGCUGGAACUAGAAAUAAUAAAGCUGUUCAAAAUUGAAGGUCAUCGCUAUACAGAAAGAAUUUGAGAGACGGCCUCGCCGAACUAAGAGUUGAGAAAAGUUAAGCUUCAUGGAGAUUUUGAUGUUUUAAUGAUCUCAGAUAAAAACCUAACGUACAUCCACCAGAUGGAGAUACUGAUCCUGGCCCAUUUCCAAUUCUGAUUAAAGGAACUCGAGGGGCUUCACAUACCUUGGAAAACUCUCGACCUUGUGGGGCCGACCUGUCGACUCCCUGACAUUCAUACGGGGGCCGGCGAAUGGAUACAAACCUUUUCAAGAGGAGACAAUUGGCAGACGUUCCAUCCAUCGUCUAUCGUUUUAUCCAUUUAAGGGGGGGGCUGGAGCCAAUCCCAGCUGACAUUGGGCGAGAGGCGGGGU